AACGAACGCUGGCGGCAUGCCUAACACAUGCAGGUCGAACGAGACCUUCGGGUCUAGUGGCGCACGGGUGCGUAACGCGUGGGAACCUGCCCUUAGGUUCGGAAUAACUCCCCGAAAGGGGUGCUAAUACCGGAUAAUGUCUUCGGACCAAAGAUUUAUCGCCUUUGGAUGGGCCCGCGUUGGAUUAGCUAGUUGGUAGGGUAAAAGCCUACCAAGGCGACGAUCCAUAGCUGGUCUGAGAGGAUGAUCAGCCACACUGGGACUGAGACACGGCCCAGACUCCUACGGGAGGCAGCAGUGGGGAAUAUUGGACAAUGGGCGAAAGCCUGAUCCAGCAAUGCCGCGUGAGUGAUGAAGGCCUUAGGGUUGUAAAGCUCUUUUACCCGGGAUGAUAAUGGCAGUACCGGGAGAAUAAGCUCCGGCUAACUCCGUG
rnacentral:rRNA from 1 species